AUACCCUGAUGGGUGGUUUCCCUUGCAUUUUCCUAAAUUUCUAAUUCCUUUUCUCUUUAAAGAACGGAUUCAUAUUGUUAAGUCUAUUUGACGGCUGUGUUUUAAUUAAAAAGUCUUGAUGAAAAUGUUUUCAUUAAACAUAUACUGGCAAGCUCUCAAAUUAUUUUGAGACAUUUCAGUCUUUGCUUUUCUGUUCCCAGUGCUGUCCCAGUCACCCUGUGGGGAUUCAACUGUGACUUCAGAUUCUUGUCAAGCAGACAUACCCACCAGCCGACGAUAGAUGGAGGAGCCCUGCCAGCCACUGCUGAUCUCGGCCAAAUCCCGAAGAGCCACCAUUUCAAGAAGCUGGUCACCUUCCAAGAUGAAGGAGAUCAUGUUCAGAAUGGUAUGCUGGCUGCCUUCGCGCAUCAUUACAACAACCUGAUCACACUAAGAGGUUUGGCCUCCUGUCAUCUUAGUGAUAAAACUAAAAGACAGUCAAACUUCAUCACACUUUUCUUCCAAGGUAAACUGAUGAAUUGCAUAUCUUAUUGAAUACAAUAAAAACAAAGAAACAUGUCCAUGA